GAUGAACGCUGGCGGCGUGCCUAAUACAUGCAAGUCGAGCGAAUGGAUUAAGAGCUUGCUCUUAUGAAGUUAGCGGCGGACGGGUGAGUAACACGUGGGUAACCUGCCCAUAAGACUGGGAUAACUGCGGGAAACCGGGGCUAAUACCGGAUAACAUUUUGAACCGCAUGGUUCGAAAUUGAAAGGCGGCUUCGGCUGUCACUUAUGGAUGGACCCGCGUCGCAUUAGCUAGUUGGUGAGGUAACGGCUCACCAAGGCAACAAUGCGUAGCCGACCUGAGAGGGUGAUCGGCCACACUGGGACUGAGACACGGCCCAGACUCCUACGGGAGGCAGCAGUAGGGAAUCUUCCGCAAUGGACGAAAGUCUGACGGAGCAACGCCGCGUGAGUGAUGAAGGCUUUCGGGUCGUAAAACUCUGUUGUUAGGGAAGAACAAGUGCUAGUUGAAUAAGCUGGCACCUUGACGGUACCUAACCAGAAAGCCACGGCUAACUACGUGCCAGCCACCGCUGUAA
rnacentral:rRNA from 1 species